rnacentral:tRNA from 1 species
GUAGCUCAGUGGUAGAGCACUUGCCUAGCAGGCAUGAGCUCCUGGGUUUUAUGCCCAGC